UACGGAGGGGGCUAGCGUUGUUCGGAAUUACUGGGCGUAAAGCGUGCGCAGGCGGCUAUGCAAGACAGAUGUGAAAUCCCCGGGCUCAACCUGGGAACUGCAUUUGUGACUGCAUAGCGUAGAGUACGGUAGAGGGGGAUGGAAUUCCGCGUGUAGCAGUGAAAUGCGUAGAUAUGCGGAGGAACACCGAGUGGCGAAGGCAAUCCCCUGGACCUGUACUGAC
rnacentral:rRNA from 1 species